rnacentral:rRNA from 8 species
GCAACUUUCAGCAGUGGAUGUCUAGGCUC